UCAGUCCACUCUUUGUUCAUCAAUGUUCCGUGAGGCGGGUGUUAUUGACUGACUGCCCGGCUGCACAAUGCCUGCGCAGUAACUGGAGCGCCGUGGGUUUGUUCACCAGGCCACGGCUGCAGCGGUAAAAUGGCGGCGAGAGUGGUGUAACUGUCAACGAUCUCCCUACCGACGAGGAAGGAUAGGGCGAAGCAGAAAUGCAGUAUCGGUAACACCUCUGGGCAGCUUUAGCAAAGAUGCUGCAACAUUCCUUUCUCUGCUCACAGCCGCCCUCCUCCAGGACUUGCAGAAGCUGUGUGAGUGUGUCGGUACUCGGCUGUCAGUGUCCGGCAGAGGAGGUCCCGAUGCCUUAGCAGUAUCUGCCAACGAAAGUGUGGUCCUGCUGAAGAUCUAAACAAGACACCUCUCCAGCGAUGAGCCAACAUCACCCGCCACCUAGUCCACAAUUGAUUUUCUUUAGCGGUUAGGAAUAUUUUUUUUUGUACCAGAAUUACAUGUAGAACAUAUAAAUGAAGGGCUUCAGUGGAUUGCAGGUCUUUUCAUUAAGGGAUCCAUACAAUUAAUACAUUUCUCUUGGAUGCCGUAUAAUUACCUCUUUUGGUCUUGCACCCUGCUAGUUAUUUUGUGUGUCCCAAACAUACAGGUUCACCAGAAGCAUAGAAAACAAACUUACCAGGUUCUAUGUAUGUUUCAAGCGCUAGUUUAUUAUUUUUUCUGUGUCCACUCAGACCAUUAAGUGUCCAUAUAGUCAUCUUUUCCAUCACCGGUCUAUUAUCUCUUACCACUAGCGACAUUACUGCAGUAACUUGAACAGAUUUUAGUGAAACAACCAACCUGAAGUCAGAUAGAACCAAGAUCCAAAACAUCUCCGGUUGGGGUCAGAUUCACAGUAAUUGUCCAUCUGUUUAGGAAAAAAAGUGAGACCAAACUAGUAAUACUAUUGCCAGCCAAAACACUGAGUGUGUUUCUGAAACAAACAUCCAAUGAAACAUUUAUAUUUGUUAGACGGCAGCUUCUUAAUUCUAUUUUUGUGUGGCAUGUAUUUCAUUCACAGACCACAAUUGCCAAGGGUAAUCUUUUUUCAUUGUGACUCGCAGUGGGUUUAAUGAGCAGAACUGUCUUUACUACAAAACCCCAGAUAUUCAGUAAUAGCAUCUGAAAAUCCGAAUCCACACAAGCAAAAUGUGAGAUCAGAAUUACGAGUUCAGCUGUUCAGUUUCUGCUGCAGUAAUAUCCAGAAAAGUGUUUAAAGUGGGCACUAUCUGGUCUUCACUGGCGUUUCUGGAGGGAGCGUCACAUUGGCUCUGGCGCUCCCAUGGGUUAGGGAGGCAAAACCCUCAGGGUCUGUUUUACCUCAUCGCACCACAGCAGACCCUACUGGCCAGGUGCCUGGUGAGCUCAAGCGGACACCUGCAGGGCUGGCCUUUCUCCUCCAGAGGCUGGUAGCUCUCCCACUGAACCUUCAGUUCUCCUGAGGUGUGUGGGGAAUUGCUGUGGUGAGGGAGCAUAAUUGGACGGUCUAAAUUGGCAAGAAAAUUGAGGGCACUCUCAAAAUAAUUAAUUAAAUAAAGUGGUCACUACACCCAAACGUUUGCAUUUAAGGUAGUCCACCAUGCAUAAUUUAACAGAAGUAUUUUGACCGAAGUUUACUUCUAAUGGUUUUAAUGAUUGAGCAGUACAGUGAUCUUUCAGGGUGGUACAAGAGCAGGGUGCUGAAUCGCUUAGAUUGAUAAAGUUAAAGCUGCAAGAUGUUAAAGCUUUGCAUGGCUAAACCCUGUAAUUGUCUCCAUGAGUUUCUUGUACAGGUCUAACACUUGUGAGGGCUGCUUCCAAAUGCUGUGAGUAUCGCUACUUCUAUUGCGACAGAGGGGUCAUCCACGAAUGGUCUUACCUGCCCCUCUGUCCAAUUGGACUAGAACCCAUUUUUAUGAAAAAGUACAGUCAAACCUGCUUACUUUAUAAUUAUCACUGUAUACCCCUAUAGCUGUAGUUGAUUUUAUGUCUUCAAUGUAAGUCUGCUGUACACUGGAUAUUCAGCAAUAUUGUUUGGGAAUCAAAUCCAAACAUGCAAAAUACAAGUGCAGAUACACAAACCAUCACUGCUGUGCAUAUUCCCAUACAGCACUAGCAGAUGCUGUCCUACAAAAAGAGAUUGCAAAACGUAACCUUUCAUUGACUUGCAUGAGGAAUGGCUUUUCAGUAUGCGUGAAUCAAUCUGAUUUACAAUGAACGCUGAACAUAAGGAAGCUGUGUGGUCCAGUGGUUAAAAAAAAAAGGGCUUGUAACCAGGAGGUCCCUGGUUCAAAUCCCACCUCAGCCACUGACUCAUUGUGUGAUCCUGAGCAAGUCACUUAACCUCCUUGUGCUCUGUCUUUCGGGUGAGACGUAAUUGUAAGUGAUUUUGCAGUUGAUGAAUAGUUCACACACCCUAGUCUCUGUAAGUCGGCUUGGAUAAAGGCGUCUGCUAAGUAAACAAAUAAUAAUAAUGUACCUUAUUUUCUAACGACUAUGCCCAAAUAAAAUGUUUAUGAAAAACAUGUUUUAUUUUAUUUUUUAAGACCAUUUUACAGUGUAGCAUAUACAUUUAACUUAUAUGCUAGAAAGUAUGGCUUUGACAGUUUUGAGAGAAAAAAACAAAUCCUCAAGGCAAUAAAGGAUGUGUAUAAAUUAUCAGUACUGUCACAAUAAUCAGUUGUCCCAACCCUACAGAGCGAGCAAUCAUCUUUUAGUUUCUGUUUUUGCCAAAUUACAAAUGAUGAUAUUAAACUCCUACUCCCCAGCUAAUGGAAGCAGCCAUGAUACUGUUGUACUGCAUUUAUUUCCCCUUUCCUUACCCUAAAAUUUCACAUGAAUUUAUGGGCAUGUGCAAUAUGUUUUUAUAUAUAAUUGUGAAACAAGUGACAAGUUGUUUUGAGAACAACAAAAUCACCACGUCUUCCAUUUUAAGAUGUAUAGUUCCAUGUGCAUUAGCUUAGUAGCAAUCUGUAGUGCCAUAUUAGUGGCCAUGCAUGAGGUUAGCGUUGCUUGCAUAUGAAUAACUAAACAAGAAAUCGAAACUUGAUUGAGCUACUAAUGUACAAUGCAGCAUCCCUUUUUUAAACAAAACUGAGCGUUGGAUUUAGUGUUACCUGUAAUAAAUACUAACACAAUAGUUUUAGAAUUGCGUAGUAGAUUACUGCUUAGCUAAAUUAAUUUUAAUGCAAAAUACCUCAAGUUUUGGAAUGUCGAUAGCACAAAUCAAGCCAUACUAUUAAUAGAAUUUUAGAAGCAAUAAUAAUGUUAUGCAUGAACUAAUAUCGGAAUGGAAAUAUAUAUGAAUUAGGAAUUAAGUAGAAUGAAUAAACUGUUGUAAAAAUGUUUUUAGUGAGAAAGGGAUUUGUUUGUUUUUAAGGAUUUUUUUUUCUUUUUAAAGAUUACUGACGGGUGGCAUUUUCUGUUACCUGUUGUAGGCUGUAAUUACAAACAUACUGUUGUUCCCUCUGUUAAAAAAAACAGCCUACACCAAAUUGUUCUUGAUUCUUUUGCCAUUGUAUUAAUGCUGCUCAUACCCAUCAAACUCCCCCAACUACUGAUGGGGUAUAAUGCGUUUCGGCGUAACUGAUAUCCUGUGCUUGUAGCAUUUACAGCAGCUUGAGGCCACAUGUCAAAUAUAACAUGCAAUUUUCCUUGAAACACGAGUAGCAGAAAGAAAACAAAUUCUUGUUUUCUUCAAAUUAGUGCAGUAUGAAUAUGUUUGAUAAAUAAUCAUAUUCUUAACGCAUUUAAAGGUAAAAUGCUUAAAUGUGUUGGCUGGCUUUAUUGCUGUUAACAAAAGGUAGCCAGAAUGCUUACUGUAAUCUACCUACAGAAGAUGCCUCUCGUUAUGUAAUCAGUGUUCAAUUUGAAAGAGCAGUUUAUGGUAUUUGUAUAGAUAUUAUAUACAACCUGUAAACAAAAUUGUCUUUUUGAUUGUCCCACUUGACACCUGACCACUGUGAAAUGUGGGAGUUGUGUGGUACACAGUUGUAGGCUUUUAAUUUACUAUGUCAAGUGUACUGGGCUUUGUAUUAGUCUGUUUGUUUUCCUAAUGUCCUUUCUCUGAGAGGAAAGUAUAGGCAGAUAGUUGAAAAUGAUUUAGGAAAGAAAGAGUGAAUUAGUCCUCUUAUAUUAUGCAUGUUACAAUAGUGUUAUCCUAGGUUAUUACUAAAGUAAAAUAUGCAAAGGCAAAUCCUCAGAUAGUAGUGCUGGGACGAACAUCAAAAUUCAAGCGAGUAUUCCCUUCAUUUUGAAUUGGCUGAAAAAAAAAAAUCUCUUGGGACUAAUACCACCGUCAAAAUACCAAAGAGAGACUUUCUUCUGUGCAGUAGAAUGUGUGUUAAGACAUCAUUAUGCAUUUUUUUAAAAAAUAUAUUUUUUUCAUAUUCAUUUAUGAAUUCUGUUAUAGGAAUGAAUACAAACUUGGUCACUGUUGUCUGCAAAUACAUUUCAAUUGUUGUAAGGUUUGAAAAAAGUGACACAAAACUGUAUGUGUGUACAGUUGCUGAAGGUAUGUUGACAAGACACUAAGCAGCCUGACCACAUUUAUUGAGUAAUUUGUCCCAUCACUACUAGACAAAUCUACUGUGUUCUAAAAGCAAUUGUUGUAUUGUUUUAUAAACAUACCGAACAAGGUGUGACAAACUGUAUGUGUAUCAUUUUAGUGACAAGUCGGUUUUAAUUCUAAGCAGAAUGAAUUAACAAGAAGCAUUGCUUAAAGGUAUGUGGAGGCGACACAAAGCUAGCUGGUUACAUUUUCCAAGUAAUUUUGUUUAGUUUUUCUUCAGCAGAAUUGUCACUUUUAUGGGUCAUAGGAAAACUGCUUUAUUGUGUUUACAAAUAUGUUAUGUACUGGUUGUUGAGAUUAGCCAGACUGGAUUUAGUUCAUAUUGCUGCAACUUUAUGAAGAAUUCUGUAAUGUGUUUAAGGUGGUGGGUAAAAUUUUAAAAAAUGGGGUUAAACUAACAUGGCCAUUCAUUCUUUCAGACAUGCCUAUGUGUUAAGCUAAGUUGAAUGCUUUCUGGCUAUUACUGUCAUGAGAGCUAAUUGGUAUAAAUAGCUUAUAAAUACAUGCUCUAGUAGUUUUAUUUUUGGUUCUAGUUGUAUGUUCAACAGCUUAAUGCCAAACGAAAUGCAGCAUGAUUUUACCAACCAGUGUUCCUUGACUUUAACAGCAACAACAAAGCAUUUCUGAAAACAGUUGCCAUAGCUAGUGGUAUUUGAAUAAUUCAAGGCAUCUGAAUUGCAGUUUAAUGUUUCUGUUUUCACUGUAUCACUCAGUUUGUACAACAUAUAUCGAUACCAAUACAGUAGUUCUUUUGUAUGUCAACAGAAUGAUGUGUGUGUGAUUUUACAUCACCGUUUUAAACACUGCCCUGCACUGGGUACAGUAAGAAAUGUAUUCUUUCAAGUAAGCACAGUAUACAUCAAAAUUCCAGUUUUGUAUAUUUCUAUAAGGAGCAUCACCAAUAAAGUGUUUUGUUCCUUUAGCUUGUUUUAUGUAUUUUAAUUAAUUGUAUUGCUUAUUGCUUUAAACUAUGCACUUCAGAAAAAAGAAAGCUCAAGGAUUUGAAUACUGAGAUGGAUUUGUAAAACUGUAACCUCUGUAUAAAAAACUUCUACAGCAAUAAAAGCAGCACGGUGCCAGUUGUGCACUAGACUCUG